rnacentral:sRNA from 2 species
GGUGCCACUCGAUAGCUGAGGCUCCUUCGCGGACACAAGCCAGCGAUCCCAAACGUCGAGAGACGCCCCGGAUCAGGACAGACCACCCCGGCCUAAGGGGUGAUCCCGAUUGGCUCCCGAUACCCCGGGUUACGACGCGAAGUGCCAAAGGUCUGACGAGGAGGGGCAAA